rnacentral:lncRNA from 1 species
UUUUUUUUUUUUUUGAGAGAGAGAGAGAGAGAGAGAGAUAGAGAGAAAGAGGGUUGGUGGAAGCAGGAGAGAGUCCGGGAGAGAGUCUUAAGCAGGCUCAUGCCCAGUGCAGAACUUCAAGUGUGGCUCGAUCUCACAACCCUGAGAUCAUGACUGAGCAGAAAUCAAGAGUCAGAUACUUAUCCGACCGAGCCACCCAGGUGCCCCAAGAAUUAAAUAUUCUUUUUUCUUUCUUAAAUUUAUUCAUGAGAGACAGAGAAAGAGAGAGAGAUCAAUGGUGCUCAAAUCAGGUAUCAUAAAAUCACCUGGGGGGUCUUCUUAGAAUUUCUCAUUCAGUAAGAAUGGGUGGAUCCAAGAUUUUGCAUUUCUAACAAGUUCCCAGGUGAUCUGAUGUUCCUAGAUUAGAGACUACACUUUGAGAACCACUAGUUUAGAAGGACAUAUUUCUUGCCCAUCUUCCAUUGUUCUUUGAGUUUUCUUAGAACUUUUAUUUCCUCCAGAAUAGUUCAGUGAGGAUCAGAUUUAUCCAAUCCUUAUUGCCCUUAAAAUUAGAAAAAAAAAAAAAGACAAAAGACAAAAAAGCACAGUGCCAUUUGCCACAAGCCCUACCUCCACAGGCAAGAUUUCCCAUUUCUCAGCUAGUGACUUCUGUAGUUUUAGGACUCCAAUGGUAAUUUUUGUCUGCAUUUCUCAUCAUACUGAACCAGUGCAACACGGGCUAUUCCACCAUUUAUGUAAGUGUGUGUAUAUGUGUGUAUAAAUAUAUAAUUUUUAUGUAUUUUUUCCUCCCCAUUCUUAUAAACUGCUAGAGGGCAAAUCUCUGAUCCUUUGGCUUUCUGGCACCUCCAUUGCUAAACACCAUGUUUUAAACCGAGUUCACCGUGUGUUUGAGGCUAAUGAGAGCGGCCAAGUGUGGAGACCAAUAAAUAACGCAAGAGCUAGCCUAUCUGUGGGGAGCUGACAUAGUAUUUCUUCUCUCAACCACAUACACAGCCAAUUUUAUCUGUAAAAUUAUAAGCCUAGAAUGCUGAAAAAAAUUCUACUUGCGUGUAACAGCUGCAAAACUAUAAUCAGGCUUAAGGAUAAUGUGAACCUACCACAUUUUAAUCCAAAUCAGGACAAUUUAGUAGUGCAGAGAAUGGUUUACUGCAUUCUUUACCAAGCUGAUAUAGAACAACCUGCUUCAUCAAAAAUUGUGCUUUCUAUAUUGAUGGGUGUUUUCCUAUGGGUCUCUACAACAGGCUCUUACAGAAAAAGUCACAUACCUGAAUUAACUGUAUUUCAACGAAAACAUUGCAAAGAGAGAGAGGCAGCAUCUAUAAAAGCCAAGCUGAUGGGGGAACAGAGGACUGGCUGAGGACAAACCACAAGUCUGGGCCGCACAUUGACAAGUCCUUGAAACAGGACAUUCUUCUAUGGACUCAAGACUCAACUCCCUCGAUGUUAAUACUUUGCUAAGAGCAAAAGGCAAUCUUAGCCCAUCCCCCAAGACCCUGUGCAUCUAAUUUAACAUUAAAACUCCUUCAGAAAUUUCCUUAUCUCUUAACCCCCUGAAAGAUAGGUGUUGGCAAUCAUCCCCCAUGCAGAUGGCCCACUGAUACGCAUCUUAACCGUCUCAGGACAAAGGUUUUAUUAGACGGUAAUAAAUGACCUUUUCCCCAAUAAUAGCUAGUCUCCUCAAGGUUCUGGAGACCUUGCUUCCAAAAUUCCUUAGAGAGGACGCUAUCCUCAAACCCCUCUCAGCUCCCAGGGAUAAUCAACCGUGGGCUUUUCCUGCCCACGGGUCCUGUCCCCUUGCUUUAAUAAAACCAUUUUGCACCAAAGACGUCUCAAUUCUUUCUUGGUUGUUGGCUCUGGACCUCACCCCACCAAACCUCUAACCUAUAUUCCAAAACUUCAAAGUAGACUAUAUAACCAUUAUCAUGGAAGCAAGUCUUCAGGAGUUAUCUCCUCUUAAGUCUUUGACUUAAUUCUUGGAUAUAGCAUUUUAAAAGUAUACUCUUAAGCAGACAAUAUGCCAACUUGCUUGAAAACUGCACUGGUGAGCUCGUCUGACCUCAUACUCUAGGUUUAAUUUUUGAAUGGUUGAUGACUGGACUUAGGCUUUCAGUGCUCAUGCACUGUUUGGGUUAAAAGAUACAGAUCACAGAACAGCGCCUAACGUUAAGAGGGCCCUUAGGCCAUCUAAGCUCCCACCGUCUUGCUGUGGGAGUGAAAUGCAAAAGAAUUGAGGCUUAGAACCAUCCGGUAGCCUGAAGGGCAUCUCUGGAUUCCGAACCGUGCACUAACCCCCGCCUUUGCCCAAGCAAACGUAGCGAAUUAGAUGGUUUAACCUUACCCCUGGACUUCACGGAUCCUGCUUUCCACAGCCCGACCCAACAAUCACAAGGACAGCGCGCCUAGAAGCAAGGAGAUACUGCUUCAUCUGGAGAACUGGAACGUAAAGCAAAAAUUCAAAGAGCCAAUAAGCAUGAAGUGCUAACUACUAAAAUCUCCAGGGCAGUUAACGCUUUGAGCACCAUUCCCUCCCGCCAACCUAACUCGACUCCAGCUCGACUCCUCGAAGCAAGGCUGACCUUAGGAAGGCCAGUCCUACCAGGUGCCCAGCUCUUCUGAAGACAAAAUGGUUGGCCCUAAAAAGGGCCGUUGGCAUCGAUCUACGCAGGGCGGAGCGGCAACUCAGCCCCCGAAGCCGUAGAGGGUGCGGCCUUGGCGCUUAAGCGCGUACACUACGUCCAUGGCCGUGACCGUCUUGCGCUUGGCGUGCUCCGUGUAAGUGACGGCAUCCCGGAUCACGUUCUCCAGGAACACCUUCAGGACACCCCGAGUCUCUUCGUAAAUGAGACCCGAGAUCCGCUUCACUCCCCCACGCCGAGCGAGGCGCCGGAUGGCCGGCUUAGUGAUGCCCUGGAUGUUGUCUCUCAGGACCUUACGAUGACGCUUCGCGCCACCUUUGCCCAGACCCUUACCACCCUUCCCUCUCCCAGACAUGGCAACCGUGGUGUGAAGACACAGCCUCUGGU